GAAUGCUGACAUAAGUAACGAUAAAGCGGGUGAAAAGCCCGCUCGCCGGAAGACCAAGGGUUCCUGUCCAACGUUAAUCGGGGCAGGGUGAGUCGACCCCUAAGGCGAGGCCGAAAGGCGUAGUCGAUGGGAAACAGGUUAAUAUUCCUGUACUUGGUGUUACUGCGAAGGGGGGACGGAGAAGGCUAUGUUGGCCGGGCGACGGUUGUCCCGGUUUAAGCGUGUAGGCUGGUUUUCCAGGCAAAUCCGGAAAACCAAGGCUGAGGCGUGAUGACGAGGCACUACGGUGCUGAAGCGACAAAUGCCCUGCUUCCAGGAAAAGCCUCUAAGCAUCAGGUAACAUCAAAUCGUACCCCAAACCGACACAGGUGGUCAGGUAGAGAAUACCAAGGCGCUUGAGAGAACUCGGGUGAAGGAACUAGGCAAAAUGGUGCCGUAACUUCGGGAGAAGGCACGCUGAUAUGUAGGUGAAGCGACUUGCUCGUGGAGCUGAAAUCAGUCGAAGAUACCAGCUGGCUGCAACUGUUUAUUAAAAACACAGCACUGUGCAAACACGAAAGUGGACGUAUACGGUGUGACGCCUGCCCGGUGCCGGAAGGUUAAUU
rnacentral:rRNA from 1 species